CUGGAAUUGCUAGUAAUGGCAGGUCAGCAUACUGCCGUGAAUACGUUCCCGGGCCUUGUACACACCGCCCGUCACACCAUGAGAGUUGGAAAUACCCGAAGCCUGUGAGCUAACAGUAAUGAGGCAGCAGUCGAAGGUANAGCCAAUGAUUGGGGUGAAGUCGUAACAAGGUAUC
rnacentral:rRNA from 1 species